UCCCUAGUAAGCGCAAGUCAUCAGCUUGCGUUGAUUACGUCCCUGCCCUUUGUACACACCGCCCGUCGCUACUACCGAUUGAAUGGCUCAGUGAGGCUUCC
rnacentral:rRNA from 1 species